rnacentral:rRNA from 1 species
GAGACCGGGAGAGGUUAGAGGUACUCCAGGGUAGAGGUGAAAUUCUGUAAUCCUGGGAGGACCGCCUGUUGCGAAGGCGUCUAACUGGAACGGUUCUGACGGUGAGGGACGAAAGUUAGGGGCGCGAACCGGAUUAGAUACCCGGGUAGUCCUAACUGUAAACGAUGCGGACUUGGUGUUGGGGUGGCUUUGAGCUGCUUCAGUGCCGAAGGGAAGCUGUUAAGUCCGCCGCCUGGGAAGUACGGUCGCAAGACUGAAACUUAAGGAAUUGGCGGGGGAGCACCACAACGCGUGGAGCCUGCGGUUUUAAAAUUGGAUUCAACGCCGGACAUCUCACCAGAGGCGACAGCUGUAUGAUAGCCAGGUUGAUGACUCUGCUUGACUAGCUGAGGAGAGGUGCAUGG